UGUCUUGACUUACUGGUUAGUUGGAGGAGCAGUCAGCGGGAUGGCCACUUCUUCUUCCUCGUAUUCUGGUCCAUCCAGAGAGUCACCUUCGUCCACUGUUCCCAGGCCCGCGCCCAAAGGGGGCAGCUGAGGAGGCGGCGGCAGAGGAGGGAAUCCGCCGCCUGCCCCGAAGGUCUCAGCAGGCAACGAAGUGGUCCCCUUGGCGAGAGCCAUCUCUCCUCCAGGUCCGGCGGCAGCGGCAGCACCAGCCACGCCAGCAGCAGCACCUCCCCCUGACAGUCCGGCUUCCCCCAUUGCUCCUGCCACAGACCCGGCUCCUAGAAACCCUGACCCCAAAGCGGCUCCGCCAGCCAGAGUCCCGGCCACUCCGGCCUCCGUCAGCCCAGAAUAAGGGACGGCUGCCACGGGCAGGGCCGGUGGUAUCUUCACUCUACACACUGCCGGAUAGGCACUCGAGCCCGCCGCUGCGCCGCCUCCUGCUGCCCCGGCGGUCACCGGGCCGCCCUCCUCACUGCCGGCCUCGGCCGCCAUCAUGUUGAAGCCCGCUCUACUCUACCCUACCCUACCCGCCCGGGAGCCCCGGGGGCCACCAGGCCCGGGCUCCGAGCCGCCCCACCCAGGCGCGUCCCCCUUCAGCUCCCCAGGCGGAGGAAACAACAACAAAAGGAGAGAGCCCGCCGCCGCGCCCCCUCCUCGGGCCACAGCCCAGGCUCCGGAGCUGCCCGGGUUACGGGAAGCGAAGUGGGCAAAAAAUCCAACGCCUGCACAAACGCCGCCCCAAACCUUCACCUUACACACCCACACUCACGCACACACACAUGCACCGAAGUAAAAAAACUUCCUGGCUGCACUAAAGAGGAAGGGAAGCACAGAGGAAGCGGCUGGGGCGGCUGCCGCUCCUUCAGCCACCGCCGCCGCCGCCACCGCUUCUUCACCACCCUAGUUCCGGCCACCCCCACCGCAGCCACCGCCGGUGCCGCUGCUGGGGCUGGGGCCACUGCAGCCGCUUCAUCCUCCACCAGGCUGGAGAUGGGAGGGGUGGGGAGAAAAGAGGAAGGGGGGCGGGGUAGUGGGGAAAUCGACUGAACUGCUCCCAACCUGGAGAGCUCAGUGAAACCGACUAGAGAGAAUGGAAGGCGG
rnacentral:lncRNA from 1 species